rnacentral:rRNA from 1 species
GACUGCGGAGGAUCAUUAUCGUAGGGCUUCGGCCCUGUCGAGAUAGAACCCUUGCCUUUUUGAGUACCUUUCGUUUCCUCGGCAGGCUCGCCUGCCAAUGGGGACCACAAAAAACACUUUGCAGUACCUGUAACAGUCUGAACAAACAAAACAAAAAUUAAAACUUUCGACAACGGAUCUCUUGGUUCUGGCAUCGAUGAAGAACGCAGCGAAAUGCGAUAAGUAGUGUGAAUUGCAGAAUUCAGUGAAUCAUCGAAUCUUUGAACGCACAUUGCGCCCUUUGGUAUUCCUUAGGGCAUGCCUGUUCGAGCGUCAUUACAACCCUCAAGCUUUGCUUGGUAUUGGACAUUGCCAGUUUCUGGCAGGUCUUAAAAUCAGUGGCGGUGCCAUUUGGCUUCAAGCGUAGUAAUUCUUCUCGCUUUGGAGAUCCAGGUGGUUACUUGCCAAUAACCCCCAAUUUUUUCAGGUUGACCUCGGAUCAGGUAGGGAUACCCGCUGAACUUAAGCAUAUCAAUAAGCGGAGGA